rnacentral:lncRNA from 1 species
AAAGUUAUGUGUUGUCUGUAUCGUUAUAUCCCUUUCCAUUGGGAUGUGUAAACAAGCUGCUUGCUUGAUUUGUUCUCCCUCUACUUCGUACAAACUCCCUGUGCAUAAAAAAUCAUCUUACAAUUAAACGUGCUCAGCAAUGCAUGCAUAUAUUUAUAUUAUGUACAGUUGGAACUCGAAAGAAAUCUGAUUAUAAAAUUUGUCUGGGUUGGUUGGGUCAGUAUCCUGAUCAAUUUUCUGGAUAAAGCUUUCAUUUGGGAUUUGCAGAAAACAUACAUUAAUAUAUCUAUAGCGCUAGUCAUAAACGUGAUAUAUUUCAUCGAUGCAAGAAUUGUUGAUUAAUUGAUAAAGUUAUAUUAGUAAUUUCAAGUGUCAUUUCUUUUAAGAAAGGACAUUUUAACUGAGUAGUUAUUCAGUUACAGUUGGUGCCUUGGAAUUGUCCGAACAGAAAGUGUGUGCCUCUGUAUUCCUAAAACUGUCGUUUUUCUUAACAUUUCUAGCUGUCUUUCUUCGUUUUAAGUGCUUUGUAACCUACAAAUAAAUCAACAGACAACAAAUUACCUAAAAAGAGGCAUAACAACAUUCAAUUCUUAGUUGAGUAAGAAAGUAGCAUACCGUGAAUGUGAAUAAACGCCAGGAAACGGUUUUGAUCACCAUCCUGCCAGAAAUAGAACAUUAAUUUAGGUAUGCAAUAAUCUCAAAGUAAAAAAAUUUGAUAUGGAAGAUGUAAGAUGGAAGUAGCAGCUUCUCACAUACUUUGGACAUGAUCUAUGAACCGCGAGAAGAACGGAGAGGGAUGAAGAGUGGAUAUGGCUGCCGAAAGAAACAAAUGAGAGAAGCUUCUGCAUGUCAUUUGUAAAUAAAGCUUCUGUUUGAAGCUUUAGACAAUUGGUAGACAAUUG